ensembl:lncRNA
UAUGUAUGGGUCUGAUCCCAGCUCUCCGGGAAGAGUUAUAACACAGAUGCUCAGGCCCUGUAUUGAGAUUCUGACCCCAUGGGUCAAAUUUGGGACCCAGGCAUAUACAGUUUUAACUAUGCAUGUUAACUCAGAGUAAACGUAUCUUUGAACAUUCUAGACUGCAACAGCCACCUGCAAAUGUGAAGCCUGGAUGGUUUCAUGGAACUGAUGAUGGUUUCAUGGAACAUGAUGGUUUCCUGGAACUGGGGGGAAGGGGGUUUCUCAACAUGAUGAGCUCACAAAUAACCAUAACUGUGUGGAACAUGUUUUUGCUUGACUCAGGAUUCACAGUCAGGCAGCCUGACUCCAGAGGCCAUGCUUCAGUGGUCCUUAGUAUGCCUUCCUGCUGUCACAUCAUCUAGGUGCUGCCCUCUGAAUUUCAGCUCUGAUGCAUUUCUGUGCUCUCUGCUCCUUUCUCUCACAGUCCUUGGGCAAAUCAAAACCUCUCUGCUAAUUCUCUGAGAUGUCAAAGAAAACUAGAGUUAUACAAAAUGGUAAAGACAUUAUGUUGCAAAAGUUGAGGAAGAUCCCAGAAUAGAUAUGCGCUCCAUUGUGAAUGUAUCGGGGAUAAGUGGGGAUGCAGAGCCAAUGAAUAGGGUAUUGGUGUACAGAAAAUGUUAUGAAGAAAGAGAGAGAGAGAGAUAUGCAGGCACAGAGACUGACAGAGACACACACAGAUACAGAGACUGACACAGACUAACACAGACACACACAGACACAGACAUAGAGACACAUAGACACAGAUACUGGCUCAGACACACAGACAGACAGACAGACAGACAGACAGACAGACACACACACACACACACACACACCCCUGAGAUGAGCAUGGGGCACCUGAGCACACUGCUCAGCACUGCACCAUGCAGGAGGCUGGUUUGGGUGCAGUCAGGUCUCCUGACCUUGACUUCUGAUUUUGGUUUUCUGACAACUUCCAUGACUAUCCUUUUCCAGUUCAAUCCCUUGAUUCUUAGAUUCCUAAUGUGACUUGCCUCUUAGGCUCCUGUCUCAGACCUUCUCUUUUCACUCUGUAUGGCCAUUUUCCU